rnacentral:rRNA from 1 species
UACGUAGGGGGCAAGCGUUGUCCGGAAUUAUUGGGCGUAAAGAGCGCGUAGGCGGUCCGGUAAGUCGGUUGUGAAAGUCGGGGGCUCAACCCGCGGAUGCCGAUCGAUACUGUCGGGCUAGAGUCCGGAAGAGGCGAGUGGAAUUCCUGGUGUAGCGGUGAAAUGCGCAGAUAUCAGGAGGAACACCGAUGGCGAAGGCAGCUCUCUGGGACGGUACUGACGCUGAGACGCGAAAGCGUGGGGAGCGAACAGG